CACACACAGAACCCUGAGAAUGAGACCAACACUGCAACAAGCUCCUACACCAUCAGCUCAGUGGCGCCCUCUGAUGGAGGCCAGUACUGGUGCAGAGCUGGCAGAGGAAACCCAGUCUACUACACACACUACAGUGAUGCACUCUGGGUAAACGUUACUGUUCCCAUGAGUCCAGCUGGUGAGUCUCCCCUUAUUGAUCUGGUUGGGUUGUCUGUGGGACUGAGUUUGGUUCUGCUCUUCAUCUCACUUGUCCUGUUAUGGUUCUACAAAACCAACAAAGGUGUAGAAUGUCUGUAUCACCGCACUGGAAAUCAAUCAGACACCAAUCAGACAUCAGAUCAGACCCAGACAGAGUCAGGAGCCCACACAUAUGACAUUGUUGGCCGAACAGACAGGAGUGGCAUAGGUCAUGAUACACAACAGCAAAAGCAGGAAUAAAGGAAGUACUGUUCCAGUCCAGGACCCACAGGCCAUUUACUCCCAGAUUCAGUCAGGAGGAGUAACAGAGAAGACCAGUGUGGGGACAGACACUGUGUACUCAAAGCAGAUGCAGAAUUCACACAAAGGCCAAGACUUAAUGCACCAUUUCAGAGAUACGAGGCUGUAAUGAACAACUACUGGACACAAUGCCCCAAAGGAAUACUAUAACUGAUCAUAAGAAAGGCUUAAAAGAAUACUUCAAAACCAGCUAACAGUGAAAGAAAUAUAGCUGAACCCAGUCAGCAGAUCAUUUCAUAGAGUGCUUUCUGAUGUCCACUCCAUUCAUUAUUGUCAGUAUCAGCUUUUAUGGUGGGAGUAUUUAAAUAAGCAUGAGAGAACAAUGAGGUUAAAGUGAACAACAAUGUAAAGUGAC